rnacentral:rRNA from 1 species
UACGAAGGGGGCAAGCGUUGUUCGGAAUUACUGGGCGGAAAGGGCGCGUAGGCGGCUUAUCAAGUCAGGCGUGAAAUUCCCGGGCUCAACCUGGGGGCUGCGCUUGAUACUGAUUGGCUUGAAUGCGGGAGAGGAUAGUGGAAUUCCCAGUGUAGAGGUGAAAUUCGUAGAUAUUGGGAAGAACACCGGUGGCGAAGGCGGCUAUCUGGCCCGUAAUUGACGCUGAGGCGCGAAAGCGUGGGGAGCAAACAGG